AUUGAACGCUGGCGGCAUGCCUUACACAUGCAAGUCGAACGGUAACGGGCCUUCGGGUGCCGACGAGUGGCGAACGGGUGAGUAAUACAUCGGAACGUGCCCGAUCGUGGGGGAUAACGAGGCGAAAGCUUUGCUAAUACCGCAUACGAUCUACGGAUGAAAGCAGGGGACCGCAAGGCCUUGCGCGGACGGAGCGGCCGAUGGCAGAUUAGGUAGUUGGUGGGAUAAAAGCUUACCAAGCCGACGAUCUGUAGCUGGUCUGAGAGGGUGAUCAGCCACACUGGGACUGAGACACGGCCCAGACUCCUACGGGAGGCAGCAGUGGGGAAUUUUGGACAAUGGGCGCAAGCCUGAUCCAGCCAUGCCGCGUGCAGGAUGAAGGCCUUCGGGUUGUAAACUGCUUUUGUACGGAACGAAAAGCCUUCUUUUAAUACAGGAGGGUCAUGACGGUACCGUAAGAAUAAGCACCGGCUAACUACGUG
rnacentral:rRNA from 1 species